rnacentral:rRNA from 1 species
CCUACGGGAGGCAGCAGUGGGGAAUAUUGGGCAAUGGGCGCAAGCCUGACCCAGCAACGCCGCGUGAAGGAAGAAGGCUUUCGGGGUGUAAACUUCUUUUUUUAGGGACGUAAAAAGUGACGGUACCUCAGUAAUAAGCCACGGCUAACUACGUGCCAGCAGCCGCUGUAAUACGGAGGUGGCAAGCGUUAUCCGGAUUUAUUGGUUGUAAAGGGAGUGUAGGCGGGAAAGCAAGUCAGAUGUGAAAACUCAGGGCUCAACCCUAAACCUGCAUUUGAAACUGUUUUUCUUGAGUGCUGGAGAGGCAAUCGGAAUUCGGUGUGUAGCGGUGAAAUGCGUAGAUAUACGGAGGAACACCGAUGGCGAAGGCAGAUUACUGGACAGUAACUGACGCUGAGGCGCGAAAGCGUGGGGAGCAAACAGGAUUAGAUACCCUAGUAGUC